UCAGGCAUUCUUGCGGCGGUUGGCGUGCGAGAUGCAGUUUGAGCGCCGCGGUUCGACCCGACGGAGGCGGGAAGCAGAAAACAGAGCGAGCAUCCUGUGUCGAUGUGGAGGCAGCGCUGCGGUCGAUCACUUCCUGAACGCUCACAGAAACCGAGAGAGGGGGGGGGGGGGGGCUACAUGGUGAGCGGGGGGGUGGAGAGGAACGGUUAAUAACGAUGUGUGGACACCUGAACACCAUCAUUCUAGAUUCAUGCGCUGGGCCGUCGCAGCUCGUCUGCGUGCCCCGGGUCAUCCCAAAGGUCAUCCCAAAGGUCACGUUAUUCCACCCAACUGGGUGGAGGGGCAGCAGCGGGUUCUAGAUGCUCCCCUCAUCGGCGCGUUGUUACGGGAAGUCCCGUGUUUGUUUGACUCAUCCACCCACCCGACCUCCACCCGGUGGCCUCCACGCCCGUCUUCACCAUGCCGACCUGCCGGGCGGGUGGAGGUAGUGCUACCGUGGUGCUUCUAUGCUAGAAGAGGUGUGAUGACGGACACAAUAAGAGGGGGGGGCUGAGAGAGAGAGAGAGAGAGAGAGAGAGAGAAAGCUCAUAACGAAGUGAGAGGAAGAGGAAGAGGGCCCUCGGAGGAGCACCCAGCGCCUUUAAGCAGAUGUUCAGGCAGAGAAGUGAAUCCGGCGCCAUGAACGGCUCGGCGGCUCUGCUGGCUUUUCUCGUUUUAUCGAUUUCUUCAAUUUCCAGAGGAGAAAACGUCACGUCUGUUUCUGCAGGCGAUGCGACAGGUGCUCCGGACGCCUCGAGUCCGUCGCCACGCGAGACCAGCGGCCCGCCGGCGACUCAAACAGCCGCCAAUCGAUCGGACCGGGGCACAGCGGUCUCCAUGACUCCAGAAGGACGAAAAGACGUUUCAAACAACUCGACAGAGGACACCGUCACCAGCACGGCGCCCCCGCUGACCCCCGUCAGUACCGCCGUCAGAACCGGCGUCAGAACCGGCGUCGGUACCGGCGUCGGUACCGGCGUCGGUUCCGGCGAUGAGAGAACGCAGGGGACUGCAGGCUACGUGGUCCUCGGCUUGAUCGUCCUGGUGAUCAUCGUUCUGUCUGUGAUCCUCUACUUCCUCAAGAGAGCCUCCCAGACGUACUCGUUCGACCUCCACUCGGCUCCCGCCGGCCGUCCCAACCAACCCGUCGGCACCUUCGAGCGCGUCCACCUGAGCGACCUGGAUCGACCGCCUAGCAGAGAGACCGCCGGCGACCUCUCACCUCCCGCUGUGUCCAACGGCUCCACCCGGCAGGCGGAGGAGCGGCGCUCCGACGGAGGGAGCGUCCCACCAGGAGAGCCGGACGCCAGCGGGCCGGAGACCCCGCCCACCGGCGCCGACCCCCCCGACGCCCCCUCGCCGUACAGCCUGGAGAUCAUGACCGACAUCUUCUUCGAUGCUGUUGAGGAGGAGCAGGAGAACGAGAACAACCCCGCCGCCUGCUCCCGCGACCCGUUUGUUGAAAUCAACCUCGACGAGGUGGCCUUCUCCUCGUCAUCCGCCUCAUCGUCCUGCACGUCUCUGCACAUCCAGUAGAAGAACCCGCCACUGCGUCU
ensembl:lncRNA